GCGCUGCGCGGGGAGGCUAUGGGAGAGAAGAAGGAGGGCGGGGGCGGGGGUGAUGGGGUGGCGCAGGGGCCGCGGCCAGCCGGACGCUGCAGCAGUGCGGGCAGCUACAGAAGCUCAUCGGCAUCUCCAUCGGCAGCCUGCACGGGCUGCGCACCAAGUGCGCUGUGUCCAACGGCCUCACCCAGCAGGAGAUACGGACCCUGGAGG
rnacentral:lncRNA from 10 species